rnacentral:rRNA from 1 species
UACAGAGGGUGCGAGCGUUGUUCGGAAUUACUGGGCUUAAAGCGUGUGUAGGCGGGUCGUUAAGUGUCUUGUGAAAUCCCACCGCUCAACGGUGGAACUGCUGGGCAUACUGGCGAUCUUGAGCCACCUAGGGGCAGACGGAACAAGCGGUGGAGCGGUGAAAUGCGUAGAUAUCGCUUGGAACGCCGACGGUGAAAACAGUCUGCUGGGGUGUGCUGACGCUGAGACACGAAAGCCAGGGGAGCGAACGGG